AUUGAACGCUGGCGGCAGGCCUAACACAUGCAAGUCGAGCGAGCGGCGGACGGGUGAGUCAUGGAUAUGGACUGCCCGUUAGAGGGGGAUAACUAAUGGAAACGGUAGCUAAUACCCCAUACGUUCGGAUAACUCUUAUCGGAUUAGCUAGUAGGGGAGGUAAUGGCUCACCUAGGCGACGUACCCUAGCUUGUCUGAGAGGAUGAUCAGCCACCCUGGGACUGAGACACGGCCCAGACUCCUACGGAGGCAGCAGGGGGGAAUAUUGCACAAUGGGCGCAAGCCUGAUGCAGCAAUGCCGCGUGUAUGAAGAAGGCCCUAGGGUUGUAAAGUUCUUUCGGUCGGGAGGCGUUACCGAAAGAAGAAGCAACGGCUAACUCCGUGCCAGCAGCCGCGGUAAUUG
rnacentral:rRNA from 1 species